AGCGAACGCUGGCGGCAUGCCUAACACAUGCAAGUCGCACGGGGGGGCUUCGGCCUCCCAGUGGCGGACGGGUGAGGAACGCGUAGGGACCUGUCGAGGGGUGGGGGAUAACCGCGGGAAACUGCGGCUAAUACCGCAUGACGCCGCGGCGUGACAGCCGGGGCCAAAGGCGAAAGCCGCCCGCCGAGGGGCCUGCGUCCGAUUAGCUGGUUGGCAGGGUAGCGGCCCACCAAGGCGUCGAUCGGUAGCUGGUCUGAGAGGGUGAUCAGCCACACCGGGACUGAGACACGGCCCGGACUCCUACGGGAGGCAGCAGUGGGGAAUAUUGGACAAUGGGCGCAAGCCUGAUCCAGCAAUGCCGCGUGGGUGAAGAAGGUCUUCGGAUUGUAAAGCCCUUUCGGCGGGGACGAUGGUGACGGUACCCGCAGAAGAAGCCCCGGCUAACUUCGUG
rnacentral:rRNA from 1 species